UAAUACGAAGGACCCGAGCGUUAUCCGGAUUCAUUGGGUUUAAAGGGUGCGUAGGCGGAUUGAUAAGUCAGUGGUGAAAUCCUGCAGCUUAACUGCAGAACUGCCAUUGAUACUGUCGAUCUUGAGUACACUUGAAGUGGGCGGAAUGUGUCAUGUAGCGGUGAAAUGCUUAGAUAUGACACAGAACACCGAUUGCGAAGGCAGCUCACUAAAUUGUAACUGACGCUGAGGCACGAAAGCGUGGGGAUCAAACAGGAUUAGAUACCCUGGUAGUCCACGCCUUAAACGUUGAUAACUCGAUGUUGGCGAUACACUGUCAGCGUCCAAGCGAAAGCGUUAAGUUAUCCACCUGGGGAGUACGGUCGCAAGGCUG
rnacentral:rRNA from 1 species